rnacentral:rRNA from 1 species
AUGAUGGAAAGGCUUCGGCUUACGGCGAUCGAGGGGCGGCCUGUGGUGUUGGAUGAUGAGGAUGAGGCUGAUAUGGUGGCUCCGGAUUGUGCACUGGUGGGGAAGGUGCUUUCCCCCAACAUCCUCCACAUCCAGAUGAUUUCCUCGGCUAUGAGGCCGGCUUGGGGCAAUCCCAGGGGCUUGUUGCUCCACCCCUCCGGUGACAACGUUUUUGUUGCUGAAUUUGGUUCCCAGGCAGACAGAGCCAGGGUGAUCGACGGCUCGCCUUGGAUGGUGGGCAAGCAUGCUGUUUUGCUCAAAGUCUUUGAUAUGAACAUCCAACCUCUUCAUGUCAAAUUUGAUCGGUUGGCUAUUUGGGCCCGUAUUAUGAAUUUGCCGCCAAGGUUGAUGAAGGCCAAGCUCGGUAUGGAAUUUGCCAAGCCCAUUGGUAAAAUUGUUAAAGUGGAUGCUGAUUCUGAUGGUCGCUGUUGGGGCGGAUACAUGAGGGUUAGAGUUGAGAUAUCGGUCCAGGAGCCACUUGUUUGCUGUGACUUCGGUGAGGCUUCAAUCCACUGA